UGGGGUGAUUGACUGGAGUGAUUGACUGGAGUGAUUGACUGGAGUGAUUGACUGAGGUGAUUGACUGGGUGAUUGACUGGAGUGAUUGACUGGAGUGAUUGACUGGAGUGAUUGACUGGAGUGAUUGACUGGAGUGAUUGACUGGGGUGAUUGACUGGAGUGAUUGACUGGAGUGAUUGACUGGAGUGAUUGACUGGAGUGAUUGACUGGAGUGAUUGACUGGAGUGAUUGACUGGAGUGAUUGACUGGAGUGAUUGACUGGGGUGAUUGACUGGAGUGAUUGACUGGAGUGAUUGACUGGAGUGAUUGACUGAGGUGAUUGACUGGAGUGAUUGACUGGAGUGAUUGACUGGUUUGGUUGACUGGUUUGAUUGACUGGUUUGAUCGACUGGCGUAAUUGACUGGCUUGAUUUACUGGUUUGCUGCAGACAUUUUUUGGUACCCUUCCCCAGAUCUGUGCCUCGACACCAUCCUGUCUCGGAGCUCUACGGACAAUUCCUUCAACCUCAUGGUUUGGUUUUUGCUCUGACAUGCAGUGUCAACUAUAGGACCUUAUAUAGACAGGUGUGUGCCUUGACAAAUCAUGUCCAAUCAAUUGAAUUUAUCACAGCUGGACUCCAAUCAAGUUGUAGAGACAUCUCAAGGACGAUCAAUGGAAACAGUAAGCAGCUGAUCUCAAUUUAGAGUCUCAUAGCAAAGGGUCUGAAUACUUUUGUAACUACGGUAUUUCUGUUUUUUAUUUCUAAAAACUUCUUUUCUCUUUGUCGUUAUGGGGUGUUGUGUGUAGAUUGAUGAGGAUAAAAAUUAAUUGUAUACAUUUUAGAAUAACAGGCUGACUACACCGCUCGCGUUGCAAAAUACAUUUAGAAAUCUAUAUUAUUCAAUUAUUGCAC